rnacentral:rRNA from 1 species
CCUACGGGAGGCAGCAGUGAGGAAUAUUGGUCAAUGGCCGGAAGGCUGAACCAGCCAAGUCGCGUGAAGGACGACGGUGCUAUGCAUUGUAAACUUCUUUUGUCAGGGGACAAAAUCAGCCUCGAGUGCCUGAUUGUGGGUACCUGAUGAAAAAGCAUCGGCUAACUCCGUGCCAGCAGCCGCGGUAAUACGGAGGAUGCGAGCGUUAUCCGGAUUUAUUGGGUUUAAAGGGUGCGUAGGGGGACUGUUAAGUCAGUGGUAAAAGCACGGGGCUCAACCCCGGAGAGCCGUUGAAACUGGCGGUCUUGAGUGGGCGAGAGGUAUGCGGAAUGCGCGGUGUAGCGGUGAAAUGCUUAGAUAUCGCGCAGAACUCCGAGUGCGAAGGCAGCAUACCGGCGGCGAACUGACGCUGAGGCACGAAAGCGUGGGUAUCGAACAGGAUUAGAUACCCUUGUAGUC